rnacentral:lncRNA from 1 species
AUGCACCGCCCCGAAGCCCCCGGCCGACAUGGUGAGCUUGAGCGCUUCGCUCUGACUGGCCAUCCACUGCUGCCGCUGCUGCUCGUCGCUGAGCUUCAGAGCCCCCUCGGCCGAGUCCGAGGGUUCAGGAGAGGCUUUCCUCUUGCGCAUCGCCCCGCCGCCGCCGCCGCCGCCGCCACCACCAGGUCCCCUAGAGGCGGCGGCCGUGCCCUGCGCCCCGCCGGCCCCGGCCCCCGGCCGCGGGAGACUCACCAGCGCCGUGGGCAGCAUGGGGCAGCUGGCGUCCAGGUAGGGCUGCGGCAGCAUGUCGGCGCCCACCAGCUCCUUGAAGAAGCGCACAGACUCGGGCAGCAGGUCCCCCAGGAGCCGCCAGUCGCCAGAGCCGUGCUUCUUCUCGUACUCCAGGUACUUGAAGCCCGAGGAGAGGCCGCGGCCGAAGUCCUUCAUACAGUCCUGGUACAUCUGCUUGGCCACGCCAGAGGCGCUGGAGAAGACGGUGCCGGAGCCGCUAGGGUACUCGAUGAAGAGUUUCAGCUCAUAGUCCAUGCCCGGCUUGGAGACAGCGUCGAAGGCAAAGACGCGGCCCAGCAGGGCGUGAUCCUUCUUGAAGCGCACCUCGUAGGGGGUGCAGCCGGCCAGAGUGAGCAGCGUGUCCCUCACGAUCUUGGGCUUGCUGGCCCACUCCUCGGCGCGAUUCCGCAAACUUUCGCUAAGCUCGGCCAGCGCCUCCGCGUUGCGCUGCUUCUCCUUCAGCUCCCGCUCUUGGUCACUGCUGGAUACCGAGCCCGGCCGCUUGCCGCAGGCCUCGGAGGACGAGCCGCCGCCUCCCCCGGCACCGCCGCCGCAGGUGCCCCCUUGGGAAGAGGCGGAGGGAGCGGGGGGACCCCCGCCGCCGCGGCCGCUCAGGCCCCCGUGCGGCGGAGGCAGCGCCACGCCGGAGGCAGCGGGGCCGUUCAGCAGCGUCUGCGGCAGCAGGUUGGGGGGCACGUUCAUCUGAGCGCCGGCGGCCCCCGGGGGCAGGCCAGACACGAGCCCCCCGUGCGCCCCGCGACGGGAGGAGGAAGAGGAGGAGGAGGAGUUGGGGCUCUGCCGGUUCAGCUCCGGUGGCCCGUCCUCAGGCUGCUUGGGGAAGCCAUUGGGGCCUCCCAGUCCGUUGGGCAGGCGGGCGCCAUGGCUGCUGCCCAGGCUGCCCGGCGGCGGCGGGUACUCGAAGCGGCUGCGCUGCUCCGCCGCGGCGGCGCUGAGCCCGUAGCGGUCCAGGCUGGACUGGGUCAGCCCCGCCGAGGCCGCCUUGGAGGUGGCAUCCACAUGGUUAAGCUGCUGCUGGGCCGCCGCCGCAGCCGCUUCUUUGGCGGAGAGCGUCACUGCCUUUACGCCGACCGGCGGCGGGGGGCCCGGGGAGCGACCGUCCUGGAAGCAGCCGUGCGCCCGUUUCAACUGCCGGGCCGUCUCAAUCACGAACUCGAUGCGGUCGGCGCCCUCAUAAUUAACGCAGCCCCGGCAGACGGGCUCCGUGAAGUCCCAGAUCAUGGCCCAGGGCAUGCGGGGCAGAUCGCAUAG